rnacentral:rRNA from 1 species
UACGUAGGGUGCGAGCGUUGUCCGGAAUUACUGGGCGUAAAGAGCGCGUAGGCGGCUUGAUAAGUGUGAUGUGAAAUCUCCAGGGCUUAACCCGGAACUGCACCGCAGACUGUCAGGCUUGAGGAAUGCAGAGGUAACUGGAAUCCCUGGUGUAGCGGUGAAAUGCGUUGAUAUCAGGAGGAACACCCAUGGCGAAGGCAGGUACUGGGCAG